CUGGUGGAUUAGUGGCGAACGGGUGAGUAACACGUGAGUAACCUACCCUUGACUCUGGGAUAAGCCCGGGAAACUGGGUCUAAUACCGGAUAUGAGUCAUCACCGCAUGGUGGUGGUUUGAAAGAUUUAUCGGUCUUGGAUGGACUCGCGGCCUAUCAGCUUGUUGGUGAGGUAAUGGCUCACCAAGGCGACGACGGGUAGCCGGCCUGAGAGGGUGACCGGCCACACUGGGACUGAGACACGGCCCAGACUCCUACGGGAGGCAGCAGUGGGGAAUAUUGCACAAUGGGCGGAAGCCUGAUGCAGCGACGCCGCGUGAGGGAUGACGGCCUUCGGGUUGUAAACCUCUUUCAGUAGGGAAGAAGCGAAAGUGACGGUACCUGCAGAAGAAGCACCGGCUAACUACGUGCCAGCAGCCGCGGUAAUACGUAGGGUGCGAGCGUUAUCCGGAAUUAUUGGGCGUAAAGAGCUCGUAGGCGGUUUGUCGCGUCUGUCGUGAAAGUCCGGGGCUUAACCCCGGAUCUGCGGUGGGUACGGGCAGACUGGAGUGCAG
rnacentral:rRNA from 1 species